rnacentral:rRNA from 1 species
CCUACGGGAGGCAGCAGUGAGGAAUAUUGGUCAAUGGGCGGGAGCCUGAACCAGCCAAGUCGCGUGAGGGAAGAAGGUACUGAGUAUUGUAAACCUCUUUUGCCAGGGGACAAAGGCGGCCACGGGUGGCCGUAAGAGGGUACCUGGAGAAAAAGCAUCGGCUACCUCCGUGCCAGCAGCCGCGGUAAUACGGAGGAUGCGAGCGUUAUCCGGAGUGACUGGGUGUAAAGAGGUGCGUAGGUGGCAUAAUAAGUAGCUAGUGAAAUCUGGUGGCUCAACCAUUCAGACUAUUAGCUAAACUGUUAAGCUCGAGACCGUUAGGGGUAACUGGAAUGUCUGGGGUAGGAGUGAAAUCCGUAGAUAUUAGAAAGAACACCAAUAGCGUAGGCAGGUUACUGGGACGGUUCUGACACUAAGGCACGAAAGCGUAGGGAGCAAACGGGAUUAGAUACCCGAGUAGUC